rnacentral:rRNA from 1 species
UGGGGAAUAUUGCACAAUGGGCGCAAGCCUGAUGCAGCCAUGCCGCGUGUAUGAAGAAGGCCUUCGGGUUGUAAAGUACUUUCAGCGGGGAGGAAGGGAGUGAGGUUACCCGCAGAAGAAGCACCGGCUAACUCCGUGCCAGCAGCCGCGGUAAUACGGAGGGUGCAAGCGUUAAUCGGAAUUACUGGGCGUAAAGCGCACGCAGGCGGUCUGUCAAGUCGGAUGUGAAAUCCCCGGGCUCAACCUGGGAACUGCAUUCGAAACUGGCAGGCUAGAGUCUUGUAGAGGGGGGUAGAAUUCCAGGUGUAGCGGUGAAAUGCGUAGAGAUCUGGAGGAAUACCGGUGGCGAAGGCGGCCCCCUGGACAAAGACUGACGCUCAGGUGCGAAAGCGUGGGGAGCAAACAGG